rnacentral:rRNA from 1 species
GUCUACGGCCUGCCACUCUGAACAAGCCCAAUCUCAUCUGAUCUCAGAAGCUAAGCAGUGUCGGGCCUGGUUAGUACUUGGACGGGAAACCACCUAGGAAGACCAAGUGCUGUAGGCU